ACACUCCUACGGGAGGCAGCAGUGGGGAAUAUUGCACAAUGGGCGCAAGCCUGAUGCAGCCAUGCCGCGUGUAUGAAGAAGGCCUUCGGGUUGUAAAGUACUUUCAGCGGGGAGGAAGGCAAUACGGUUAAUAACCGUGUUGAUUGACGUUACCCGCAGAAGAAGCACCGGCUAACUCCGUGCCAGCAGCCGCGGUAAUACGGAGGGUGCAAGCGUUAAUCGGAAUUACUGGGCGUAAAGCGCACGCAGGCGGUCUGUCAAGUCGGAUGUGGAAUCCCCGGGCUCAACCUGGGAACUGCAUUCGAAACUGGCAGGCUUGAGUCUUGUAGAGGGGGGUAGAAUUCCAGGUGUAGCGGUGAAAUGCGUAGAGAUCUGGAGGAAUACCGGUGGCGAAGGCGGCCCCCUGGACAAAGACUGACGCUCAGGUGCGAAAGCGUGGGGAGCAAACAGGAUUAGAUACCCUAGUAGUCCCAUGAU
rnacentral:rRNA from 1 species